UAGUCAUCUUUCUCAGAAGCCAUUGAAAAUGGGUAAGUUAACUUACUUGAAGAACUAUUAGCUGAAGGAAGCAUCAGAAGCUAGAAAGAACAUCAGGAAUUGAGAGAGGGACGAAAUAGACAGAUUUGAGGGGAAAAGGAAUCACAUUUUUUUGGGGUUGAAACAAAAGUAAGGAAGGUCACGGACACAAUAACAAGAAAACAGAGUAAGGUUUUGGGUUCGUCAUUUGUCGCCGGUUUGAGGUUCCAUUUCCGUCGAGCUCUUGUCCAAGCUGUUUCUGGGUCUAAAUAUGAAAUCAGAUGCAUGGAAACUGUUUAAGGAGUUGAAUCCUUGAGUUUUGUCAUGUAUGCAAAAUCAUUGACAGUAAGGUUGUAAGAAAAGGUGAGGGAAUUAAAGAAAUCGAUAAAUUGAACAUUGGAAUGACAAGUCCCAAAUUGCAUAUUUCAUUAAUCUUUAUAUCCAUAUUUUUUAUUAUGUUUUUGUGGUUUGGUACCUCUCCAGCAUAGUAUUUGAGCCAUGGUUCUUGUGUUUGUGUACUUCAACACUUACAUUUGUGAGCCAGCAUAAGGUGGAAAAAGGCACAAAGUUUAAGUAUGCAUUUCUCAUUGGUAAAAUUGAGUUUUUCUCUGAAUAUCUGUUCAAAUGUCAAACGUUUUUUGCACUAAAACAUUGUUCAAGUAAUGGUAAAUUCUUCAUCAUAUACGUAACAAUUUUUAAUAUAGCUUUUAAUUGUUUUUGUUCAUGUAUUUCGCAUGGUAUGGAGAUUUGUUUAUGUAUUUCGCAUGGUAUGGAAAUUGACAACUCUCUGAAUCGUAGUUUGCUUUAAGGUAUGUAAUUAAAUUAUUACAACUACGGGUACGGUUCCCGUGGCACAGUAUGGUAGGUUUUUUAAGCUAAAAUAAAAAUUGCAAAAGGGUCAAAACGAAAAUUAGAUCCCUUAAGACAAUCCUAAAUGACUUGCCUAUAAAGGCUCUCUAACUUGGCAUUCAAGACAGGAAUAAAAGAGAUAAAAAUCCCAAACUGGUAUUGUUACUGGAUUGAAUCUGGUGCAAAAGCUGAAUGAUUGAUGUGUUGUUCUAGCCAUUCUCAUUGCUGAUUAUUGUUGUUGUUUUCUAUUAAACUCUUCAUCUUAUCUUCUUUGUUUGCUGUUGUAAUCAGGUAUUCAUAAAACCUCCAAUGGCAUGUUGAAGUGGAAAUGAAAUGAUGCUGCUACCAUUAUUCAUAGCAGCCUGUUUUAGAGUAUUUUGCCUCAUGUUCAUUGUCUUAUUGUGUGUUUAUAUCUUUAUUAAGGUGUCACAAUUAAAUCAUUUGUGAAGUUGUUAAGUUAUGAGCUGAUAAGGGGCUGUUGUUAUAUGAAUUCGACCUUUGCUUUAGUAUUGUUGAUUACAACGUGCGU
rnacentral:lncRNA from 1 species